CCCUCUGAUCUGGACUCAGACUGGAUCUGGUGGCCACGGUGACCUCAGAACAAGAGAGAAAAAGACAAAUAUUAAAAAGAAACAGACAAAUAUUAGAGAGAAACAGACAAAUAUUAUCCUCUAGAAACACUGCAAACCCGUCCUCUUCCCCACGGCGUCGACCCGCUGAAACUGGAGAUGUAUCUGACCGACGAGGACUUUGAGGGUUGUAGGGAAUUCUAAAUGUGGAGAGUAUUAGACAUGAAGAGAGAAGAGUUUGACGCUCUGCCUGGAUGGAAGCAAGUGAACC